CCUACGGGAGGCAGCAGUGGGGAAUAUUGCACAAUGGGGGAAACCCUGAUGCAGCGACGCCGCGUGAGCGAUGAAGUAUUUCGGUAUGUAAAGCUCUAUCAGCAGGGAAGAAAAUGACGGUACCUGACUAAGAAGCACCGGCUAAAUACGUGCCAGCAGCCGCGGUAAUACGUAUGGUGCAAGCGUUAUCCGGAUUUACUGGGUGUAAAGGGAGCGUAGACGGAGUGGCAAGUCUGAUGUGAAAACCCGGGGCUCAACCCCGGGACUGCAUUGGAAACUGCUCGGCUAGAGUACAGGAGAGGCAGGCGGAAUUCCUAGUGUAGCGGUGAAAUGCGUAGAUAUUAGGAGGAACACCAGUGGCGAAGGCGGCCUGCUGGGCUUUAACUGACGCUGAGGCACGAAAGCGUGGGUAGCAAACAGGAUU
rnacentral:rRNA from 1 species